CUGGGGCAUUUCAGAGUCUGAUUGGAAAAAAUAACAAAACAAUUAGUUCCUUUUUUAUUUCAGCCCCAAGAGGCUCAGGCUAGCAGAAUACAUGCUCUCGCUUUUUACAUUAACCCGUUAUGUAGGCAAUAUAUCUUGAGAUUCACUGUAGUUAAAAUUUUGAUCCAAGCAUAGUAAGAGAAGAACAGGAUACAUGUAUGCUCCUGCCUUUCAGUUCUCAUCUAUCACUGCUGCCUUUAUCUUUUGGAAUCUUCCCCUCUUUGAGUGGAUUCAUUCCAGAUUCACCACUGAACUCCACAUACCCUGCUGAGAACCACAGAAGAUAACGAAUUAUUCUCACAACCACCACCUUCUCAUGUCUUCCAACUCUUAUCCUGGAGGAAUUCUGCCAUGCCUUCCCCAAUCCCUGAAAGUCUCUGAUGGGGGAAAAGCUCUUCAUGCAAUCCUGUGAAGGAAAACUCAAGAUUUUCAGUGCCCUUCACAAAGGAGAAAUGACAGGAGAGGGUAACAUCAGUGAAUGGGUGGGCCCGCAGCUCCUCUGUAGACACCGAGAAUGUCAAAGAAGAAAUGAAGUUAAUAAAGACCAAUCAGCACUGCAUCAGGUGCCCUCAUCUAAUCAGUUGAAGUUCUAAAUAGAACAAAAAAGCCAACCUUCCUUCAAGUAAGAGGGAACUCCUGCUUUUACUGCUUGAGCAGUCUUUUCCUGCCUUCAGACUCAGACUAGAACUAUACCAUAGACUGUUCUGCACCUCCAGCUCGCUGACUGCAGAUCUUGGGACUUCUCAACCUCCACAAGCACAGCUGCAUGACCCAAUUUCUUCAAAAAAAAAAUCAGGCUCUCUCUCCCUCUCUCUCUACCCCCCCGCCAACCCCCUCUCUCUCUCUUUUCCAGUUUGUUCUGUUUCUCUGGAGAACUCUGACCAUAUCUGGUAACAUUUAUCAAGUAUUUACAAUGUUCUAAACAUAUUCUAGGAGCUUUUCUGGCAUUAAUUCAUUUAAUCUGAUACUAACACUGAGGCAGGUAAUUAUCCCCAAUUUACUACUGAGAAAACCAAGGCACAGUGGGUGAAGUAAGUUACUCAAGGAUACACAGCUAGUGAGCAGUAGAGCUGUCAUUCAAUGCUAGGCAGUCUGACUCCAAAGCUCUCCAACUGAAAUGUGCUCUUUUGUCUCCUAAUAGUAGGCACUGGUUCGAAGUUUGAUGAAUGAAUCAGUGACUAAUUAAAUGAAUUAAUGACUACAAGACAGGCUGGAAAGGAGGCAAAGAGAAAUAACUUGCAUAACCUUUAGAAGGAUUGAUUUGCAAGUAAAAACCUGAAGUGCUUUCUUGCUCAAAUUAUUUUUCUGAAGUGGUUAUCACCAAAAAGCAGUGUUUUAUAAUUUUUGUGGGACUUUAUUUUUGUAAAAUCCUGGUCUGACGAAUUGUAAAUCCAAGUUCUAGUUCUAAGUACCCCCUUACUAAUCAUUUGGCAUCAGGAAAGGCACUUAAUCUCUCUGAGUUAUAGCUUCCUUGUGUAUAAUUAGAAUUAUAACACCUGUCCGAGGUUUUAAUGAAAUACCAUGGGAUCUUACAGACUGUUUUUAUAUGACAUGGCUCGGUCAUUUUCCAGAAGGACAGGAGUAAAGUAGAUGAGUGGACACUUUAGUAAGCUGUUCCCCCACCCCAAUGUCUCUCACAAGAAUAUGUAGUUUACCCAUGAGUGGUCCUUGAUUCUACCUUCUCCAGUUGUACUCAGGAGUUCUUGCUACAGUUGUACCCUUUCUGGCCCAAGGGAAGGGGUCUCAAACUCAGGGAUCCAAAGGCUCUAGCCAAUGCAUCAUGAAACACAACUUCCUGCUGAUGUAACUAGUAUAAAGGACAAUUUCUAACUGAUAUGUCUGCAGAUGGCCCUGCUUGAAUCUGAGUAACUCCUUUGUCUAUUUCAAUCUGUGUUAUUUCUAAACCAUGUGUCUUUAGCUUCCCAAGCCUUAAGAGGCCGAGGCAAAAGCUCAGAAAAAGGUUAAUAAUGUGGGAAAACACUUAGAAAAAUGUAGAAAGAUACUGUCUAACGCAUCUGCCAUGGUACCUAGCACAUAGUAUUAAGUUCUUAAUAUUGCUACAAAAUGUGAGAUUAGAAUCAACAGAUCAUUCUCUUUCUUGCCUACAUACAUACCUAUUCCUUUAUUUGGUUGAGUUUUUCCUAACUAUGAGUGGAUUACCACCUUACUUUUCUUACUGCUCUCCUCUACCCGCACACACACACACACCCCCCAACACCCAGCCCCCCCGCCCUCCUCCCCACCACACACACACACACACACACACACACACACACACAGAAUAAUCAAACAUCAAGAGAAAAGAGCCAGCAAAUGUAACCUGGGUUGACCAGGCCUUGUACUAACUCCUGAGUUGAACUCUGGAGCCUGAGGAUGCCUUCAAGCUGCUGCCACCUUUAAGGGACUGACAGAACUGCUGCAGGUCUCUGGAAGAUGGCAUAAGCCUGAAGACUAUAAAUGUGUUUGAUCACUUUAUGGAGUAGUUAUACAGCCAGAUUUGGGAUACACAGUGUUUUUUUAAAAAACUUUUGCUUAUGGACUUUUGGUUAGCUGAAUCAUAUUAACAUUUCCAACAUCUGUAUAUUGUUUGUCACCAAGAGAGUUGAAGAUUUGAGUACAAAAAGACUUACAUAAACCCUUUGUUGACUGCCCAUCCAGAUUUUUCAGGACAGACCUGAUUUCAAAUAUUUUGGAUGCUACACUAUAAAUUGGCACUUGUCAGAGUCACUUGAAAGUGGGUGUCUAGUAUUGUUUUGUUUGGUUUGGUUGGGAGGUUCACACUAUAGAUACGACUGAGAUUAGUCAUUCAGAUAUGGCUUCAAAUGGACAAACCAAAUUGGGGGGGGUGGGGUGGAAGUUUUUCUCAUUUAAAAAAAGAAAGCAGAAUAAACAAUAAUGAUUUAUAAUAUGUGUCUGUUAUUUUCUCCCAUCUGCUCUUAACCAUUUCCUAUGAAGUAAAUAUAGAUUUUUAAAAUAAAUACAAUUUUUCCUGUAAAAAAUAAAUUUGUUAUUUUCAUAUAACAAAUGAAAAGAAUGAGAUUCAGAGAGAUUAUGUCGUUUAUCUCCAAACAAAUGUUUUCCUCACUAUCCCCAAAGCUAUUUCAUAAAUGCCCACAAAGUUUUUUGAAAAAUGACUCACCUGCACUGUGAAGAAGUAUGUUAACAGUCACCA
rnacentral:lncRNA from 1 species